rnacentral:rRNA from 1 species
GCGAACGCUGGCGGCAGGCUUAACACAUGCAAGUCGAGCGCCGUAGCAAUACGGAGCGGCAGACGGGUGAGUAACGCGUGGGAACGUGCCUUCUGGUUCGGAAUAACCCAGGGAAACUUGGGCUAAUACCGAAUAAGCCCUUCGGGGGAAAGAUUUAUCGCCGGAAGAUCGGCCCGCGUAAGAUUAGCUUGUUGGUGAGGUAAUGGCUCACCAAGGCUACGAUCUUUAGCUGGUCUGAGAGGAUGAUCAGCCACACUGGGACUGAGACACGGCCCAGACUCCUACGGGAGGCAGCAGUGGGGAAUAUUGGACAAUGGGCGCAAGCCUGAUCCAGCCAUGCCGCGUGAGUGAUGAAGGCCUUAGGGUUGUAAAGCUCUUUUAGCGGGGACGAUAAUGACGGUACCCGCAGAAAAAGCCCCGGCCAACUUCGU